GACGAACCGUGCGAACGUUGUUCGGAAUCACUGGGCUUAAAGGGUGCGUAGGCGGGCGAUCAAGUCAGGGGUGAAAUCCUCCAGCUUAACUGGAGAACUGCCUUUGAUACUGGCCAUCUUGAGUGAGGUAGGGGCGUGCGGAACUGAUGGUGGAGCGGUGAAAUGUGUUGAUAUCAUCAGGAACUCCGGUGGCGAAAGCGGCGCGCUGGACCUUUACUGACGCUGAGGCACGAAAGCCAGGGGAGCGAACGGG
rnacentral:rRNA from 1 species